AUUGAACGCUGGCGGCAUGCUUUACACAUGCAAGUCGAACGGUAACAGGCCUUCUGGUGCUGACGAGUGGCGAACGGGCGAGUAAUGAAUCGGAACGUACCCAGAGGUGGGGGAUAACGCAGCGAAAGCUGUGCUAAUACCUCCUGCGAUCGGAGGACGAAAGCGGGGGACCGAGCAGCAAUGUUUGGCCUCGCGCCUUUGGAGCGGCCGAUGUCGGAUUAGCUAGUUGGUGGGGUAAAGGCCUACCAAGGCGACGAUCCGUAGCUGGUCUGAGAGGACGACCAGCCACACUGGGACUGAGACACGGCCCAGACUCCUACGGGAGGCAGCAGUGGGGAAUUUUGGACAAUGGGCGAAAGCCUGAUCCAGCAAUGCCGCGUGCGUGAAGAAGGCCUUCGGGUUGUAAACCACUUUUGGCAGGAAAGAAACGGUGUGCGCUAAUACCGGGCGGUGAUGACGGUACCUGAAGAAUAAGCACCGGCUAACUACGUG
rnacentral:rRNA from 1 species